ACGCUCAACAAGCCCAUGGGCUCAGGCGUGGAGGACGCUCAGGGCAUCCUCAGCAGCUACGAGGAGGUGCUGCAGAAGCUGCGCGAGUUCCGCAACCAGCUGGAGUCGCUGCAGGACCAGACGGUGGGCAGCAUCACCGACCUCAACGACCUGAUCCGACAGCAGGACGAGCUGGUGCGGGCCAUCGAGAACCAGGUCUCCAAGCUGCGCAACCUGGUGCUUCUGCGGCAGCA